rnacentral:rRNA from 1 species
GGUGGAGCAUGUGGUUUUAUUCGAUGCAACGCGAAGAACCUUACCUGGCCUUGACAUCCAGAGAACUUAGCAGAGAUGCUUUGGUGCCUUCGGGAACUCUGAGACAGGUGCUGCAUGGCUGUCGUCAGCUCGUGUUGUGAAAUGUUGGGUUAAGUCCCGCAACGAGCGCAACCCUUAUCCUUUGUUGCCAGCGGUUCGGCCGGGAACUCAAAGGAGACUGCCGGUGAUAAACCGGAGGAAGGUGGGGAUGACGUCAAGUCAUCAUGGCCCUUACGGCCAGGGCUACACACGUGCUACAAUGGCGCAUACAAAGAGAAGCGACCUCGCGAGAGCAAGCGGACCUCAUAAAGUGCGUCGUAGUCCGGAUUGGAGUCUGCAACUCGACUCCAUGAAGUCGGAAUCGCUAGUAAUCGUAGAUCAGAAUGCUACGGUGAAUACGUUCCCGGGCCUUGUACACACCGCCCGUCACACCAUGGGAGUGGGUUGCAAAAGAAGUAGGUAGCUUAACCUCCGGGAGGGCGCUUACCACUUUGUGAUUCAUGACUGGGGUGAAGUCGUAACAAGGUAACCAAGGGCGAAUUCCAG